AGCGAACGCUAGCGGCGGGCUUAACACAUGCAAGUCGAGCGCUUCACUUCGGUGAAGAGCGGCGGACGGGUGAGCAACACGUAGGUUACCUGCCCCUGGGUGAGGGACAACCGAGGGAAACCUCGGCUAAUACCACAUAUGGUCUACGGAUCAAAGGCUUCGGCCGCCCGGGGAUGGGCCUGCGUCCCAUUAUUUAAUCCUAGUUGGCGGGGUAACGGCCCACCAAGGGUACGAUGGGUAGCUGGUCUGAGAGGAUGAUCAGCCACACUGGAACUGAGACACGGUCCAGACUCCUACGGGAGGCAGCAGUGGGGAAUAUUGCGCAAUGGGCGAAAGCCUGACGCAGCCACGCCGCGUGAGUGAUGAAGGCCCCAGGGUCGUAAAGCUCUGUCGGGGGGGAAGAAGUUCUGACGGUACCCCCCAAGAAAGCACCGGCUAACUCCGUGCCAGCAGCCGCGGUAAAGUCCAGUGACU
rnacentral:rRNA from 1 species